ACGAACGCUGGCGGCGUGCCUCAUCCAUGCAAGUUGAGCGAUGAAGAUUGGUGCUUGCACCACUUUGAAGAGCAGCGAACGGGUGAGUAACGCGUGGGGAAUCUGCCUUUGAGCGGGGGACAACAUUUGGAAACGAAUGCUAAUACCGCAUAAUAACUUUAAACAUAAGUUUUAAGUUUGAAAGAUGCAAUUGCAUCACUCAAAGAUGAUCCCGCGUUGUAUUAGCUAGUUGGUGAGGUAAAGGCUCACCAAGGCGAUGAUACAUAGCCGACCUGAGAGGGUGAUCGGCCACAUUGGGACUGAGACACGGCCCAAACUCCUACGGGAGGCAGCAGUAGGGAAUCUUCGGCAAUGGACGAAAGUCUGACCGAGCAACGCCGCGUGAGUGAAGAAGGUUUUCGGAUCGUAAAACUCUGUUGGUAGAGAAGAACGUUGGUGAGAGUGGAAAGCUCAUCAAGUGACGGUAACUACCCAGAAAGGGACGGCUAACUACGUG
rnacentral:rRNA from 1 species